AUCUAUUUCAAAGGACAUUGAAGGCACUGUAAAAAUUUGUGGUGUAGGGCAUUUGGAGUCAGAGAGCCCAGAUUAAAAUUCUAUUUCUACUCACUUAAUACUCGUGUUUCCCAUCUUUGAGUCUCAUUCUUCUCAUCAAUAAAAUGAAGGUGAGAGAAUAAAUGAUCUCUCAGGUUCCUUCCAUCCAUUCUUUUUUUCCCCAAUGCUAAAAGCUGAAAAGCACUUGAUAGAUAUCCACUGAACUCAUUUUGCUUUCAAUCUUUUAAAAACACCAGGGGGUGCUAGUUCUAGGAGGAAAUGCAUGCAGCCAGGAUCAUUAGAUGCCUUGUCCUGGAAUCAGUAUCACAGAUUUAGGGAGGGAGAUAGAGAAAAGAGAGAAAUCAUCCAGUUCAUCCUCUCCAUCUUAAAGGUAUAGCAGGGACUGAUCAGGUGAAUCCCACAACCCACAUGAUGAAACCACAGGAUAUGAAUCAGGAUACUUGCCAGUCUUUCAAGGCUGACAUAAAGGAGGUCAGUCUCGGCCUCCCACAAGUCAUCCGUCAAUGCCCUUGUUGGGAGACAGAAUCCUGGCCUGGAGCGAGCAGGGGCCUGACCCAAGAGGAUAUAUCCAAUGUUAUUAUGCUCAUAUUGUGUUGAAUGCUCACCCAGAAAUUCAGCAUGGUCAGCAGAAUUCACUACAGCUCUGUACUGUGUUAAGCAUCCUGGCAAGAAGCCCCCUCGCUCUCUUGCCAGCCCCAUCCACCGAUUCCCAGAGGGGAGUAGACUAGCCAAGGCUUUCUUUCACCGCUCCAGGGUUCAAUGUCCACCAGGUUCCAGCCACAUGCUAGCCAUGGAAUGCCUGGUGCGUGAGAGCCAACAUGUGACCGCCAUUGGGCUGGGCCAUGACACUCUGAAAUGUUCUCUGGCAGGCCUCAAGCUUGGCCCUCAGGCAGCUGAAACUGAAACAGAGAGAGCCCGCUGAGGCUCUUGAUGAGUUUGGGAAAGGGCCAAAGGCUCCGCCAACAAUAGGUCGGUGUGAUCCGGCAGGAGCAGAGAGGGCUUCUUCAAGUCUGUCAGAGUGAUGAAGACUGAGACAAAGUGGGAACAGACUUGGGGAUGGCUUGUGCUAUGUACAUGUGGCUUCUCUGGGAGAGAGAGAUGACUAGAGCCGCAGCACAGAGAGACUGGUGUUCUGUGGGAAAGCUUUGGGAUUGGCAGUCAUUUUCCCAUUUGUUCUAUGUGCUUUUUAAACUGAGGGGAUGAAGAGGCUGCCAAAAAUUGCACAUGGGGCCAGCUGGGUGUGGAACUACCUUUGUUCAAAGACCUAGGAGUUCUGAAACAGCCCUGAAAAGCAACAACUGACCUAUUGCCUGGACUCUAUUAAAACCACAAUUUCACACGCAGUCUCUAAACCAAUAUAUAAAUGAUUGACUCAUGAACAUUAGUACUGAAAGGGAUAACUGAUAACUGAUAACUGAGUCCAGAUCGUGGUAUAGUAAAACAAAAUUUUUUUGGACUGGGAGUCGUAAGUCCUGGAUUCAGAUCUUGCUGCUAUUAUUUGUUAUCUGUGUGACACUAAAUCCCAGCUUCUUAAACUGUAGCUUGUGACCUUUCAUGGGGUCCCAUGAAUGUGGGAGUCAUGAAAUUAUGAUUUACUGAUUUGUAUAUACCAAGGUUACAUAAAAUUUCUUGGAUAAAAAGGGGUUAUGAGUAUAAAAAAUUUAAGGAGCAGUGGCCUAAGUCACUUAACUUUCCAGAGCUCAGCUUUCUCAUCUACAAGGUGGAUGUGUUGGACUGGAUGACCUUUGGAUCGACUAUUAUGUUUCUGAUGCUAUGUAGCAAUUUCCCAUUUCAUGGGUGAAAAAACUAAGGCCCAGAGAGGGAGAGGGAUACCCAGGUCCAUUGACUUUUGAUAGCUCUCAUGCUACUGUUGUUCUCCUAAAUUUAAUAGCUUGGCGGGAUUUCCAUUCAGACUCCUGACAACUCUGCCAAGAAAUAUGUACGCAGAGGAACACUACUAAUUCCUGAGAAGAAGGCCCUGACAGGGGCUGAAGGGUCGGCAUGUGGGCAAGUACCCACUGGAGGGACGUCUGGCUUAAGGAUUUGCUCCCCAAAUUCACAUCACAGUUACAUCCUGUGAACUAAAAAGAGCCACCGAGGCACCAAACUGUGUUUCAUAAAUAAUUCCUCUGAACGGCACUCAGGAACCAGCAUGUAACUUUGACCCUAGUCAGGGGACAUGGCCGACAUCAAAGAUGCAAUCGACUUCUUCUGGACAGGCAGGAAAGCCAUGGCGCCCAGUGCGGGAGGCUCCGACCUUUCUGAGGCUGUGUUCUUUUGAAUUAAGCUUUGUUGACAUCAACACCCAGAGGGGACAUCAUGAAAGGGAAGAAGCUGGUUGCCACUGGGGAGUGAGGUUACUAGGUACAGAUGCUAUAAUGAGUUGCCUGGGAAGAUUCCAAAUUUGAGAGCUGAAAGCUCACUGCUUUUCUUUGCUGGCACCAAGGCAGCAAUGCAAAUAAGAAGAUGGAGUAUUUCUCAGACUGGGCAGAGAAGGAAGGAACCUAUCAAUGAAUUUUUUUAACAUAUCAUAUAAACAAAUAAUAACAUUGUUAUUCUUGACAACAUACUGAUCUAUAACCUUAUUCAUGUAAAUAAUUUCUCUAGUGGUGCAGAUAACAGCCUGUAAUCACACUGUAAUUUGAGUGUGGAAUUAGCCCAUUCUGGAAGUGUAUCCCAAGUAGCACCAACCUCCCAUUCUCCCCAGACUAACUCUCCCUUUUCCUGACCUGGAACUGACUUGUCCAUUCUAUUUGUUAGCACUUCUGAUAGGUCAGAGUGGCUCCCCAGGAAAGUGACCAUGGCCAAUAGCAGUAGUAUAUUCUCAAAGCCCCUGCCCCCCAAUAUAUAUACAGCAAGGGUAGCCCUAGGAUGCUGAGAGAUUGUUUCCUUUUCAUUUACAUAAAAUCAAUCAGUCAUGGAAUUGUUGACUCUUAAACUUGAAACAUUUACUAAAUGAUAAAGAAAAAGCAAGAAUAAUGAUAGUAUUACAUAGUAGAAAAUGAGUAGGAAUAAUUAUUAUAUUUGCUCAAUAGAUAACUCAAGUAGAAAUUAAAAAAAUAUAUCUCUAUUCACCCAUAAAUCUGGAUCAAGCUCUCCUACCAAUAAACACAGUAUUUGUGGAAGAAGGUGGGCAUUCAUAGAAAACUAGCAGGGAGGCAUAUGAGGAGAAAGACCCCUCUCUUUGAGGGAAACCAUUGCUCUGGACAACCAGCUUUAAUGCCCUGAAUCUCUUUACGGAACAACUUGCAUAUAUUGGCAAGGCCAGCGCCUCUGCUAUUUGUGUUGCUUCUGGUUUUAAGAGCAGAUUCCCUAAUGAACAAAAGCACUUCUCUUCUAUUGUUAGAUCACUGAACCAUUUUUUUUAAAAGGACACAGCCACCAUUGGAAGGGUGCUGAGAAAGUGUUACACUCUUUUAGUGGCGAUCAGUUUUUUUUUUUUUAAGUUGGAAAACUGCCACAGUCUCUUAGGUCUGCUCUGGUAUUCUGAAGAGUAUGGCUCCCCCCACCCCCAAUUAACAGCCCUCAAAAAGCAGGGCAUUCUGUUUUAUUCAAUCAGUUCUCAGCAAAGUCAAACUUCUUCUCAUAGUACAGCAGAUACAUUUCUUUGCUAUUUUGUUUCUUCCUUUCAAGCCAGAAAGGAAGUAAAGGGUAACAAAAGUACCUCUGUGAAGCUUCCUUUGCCUCACAUUGUCGAUAGCACUAAAGGCAGCGAGUAAGUUCAGACAGCUUGUCACAGCUGCAGAAUUCACUUCUAAUUAGAGUCUAACAGUUACAGAGCCUGCUGAGUUAUGAUCAGUUCUCUCAGCUGACUUAGUUUUUUCCCAUCCAAUUAGCUCUCAGCAAAGCUAUGCCCCUGUUCCAAUCAGCACAGUUCCCAAGAAAACAGCUACAAAGCCUUCCUGCGUUCCUUUGCUCUGUCUUCAAUUUUUUGUUAUUUUGGGGGGGACUGGCCAACUGAGGCCCUGUUCUUUGCACAUACUGCAGUAUUGUGCCUGCUAUAUAGUCAUGUAGAGCCUUAGGGAGUCUGUUUCUGGAAAUGUGCAUAAAUGAUGUAUAAUGGAAAGACUCUGUUCUCUGCCUGAGACCAUGUGUGGGUAUUCUAUGACUGUCCACUCACUAAGUGGUAAAGAAACACUUAUUUAAUCAGUUAUAGACAAGGCCAAAUGUGCAUGUGAAAGACACGAAAUGGUCAAAUUGCUCUCCUUCUUUGUGGUGACCAAGGCUAGGACUGCUGAAGAAAA
ensembl:lncRNA